CAAGGAAUCUUGCGCAAUGGGCGAAAGCCUGACGCAGCGACGUCGCGUGGGGGACGAAGGCCUUCGGGUUGUAAACCCCUUUUAUCGGGGAAGAAAAAUGACGGUACCCGAUGAAUAAGUCUCGGCUAACUACGUGCCAGCAGCCGCGGUAAUACGUAGGAGGCGAACGUUAUUCGGAUUUACUGGGCGUAAAGAGGGCGCGGGCGGCACUCUAAGUCGGGUGUGAAAUCUCCUGACUCAAUCAGGAUGGGUCAUCCGAUACUGGAGAGCUAGAGGGCAGCAGAGGGAGGUGGAAUUCCCGGUGUAGCGGUGAUAUGCGUAGAUAUCGGGAGGAACACCAGAGGCGAAGGCGGCCUCCUGGGCUGUACCUGACGCUGAGGCCCGAAAGCGUGGGGAGCAAACCGG
rnacentral:rRNA from 1 species